GACGAACGCUGGCGGCGUGCCUAAUACAUGCAAGUAGAACGCUGAAGAGAGGAGCUUGCUCUUCUUGGAUGAGUUGCGAACGGGUGAGUAACGCGUAGGUAACCUGCCUUGUAGCGGGGGAUAACUAUUGGAAACGAUAGCUAAUACCGCAUAACAAUGGAUGACACAUGUCAUUUAUUUGAAAGGGGCAAUUGCUCCACUACAAGAUGGACCUGCGUUGUAUUAGCUAGUAGGUGAGGUAAUGGCUCACCUAGGCGACGAUACAUAGCCGACCUGAGAGGGUGAUCGGCCACACUGGGACUGAGACACGGCCCAGACUACUACGGGAGGCAGCAGUAGGGAAUCUUCGGCAAUGGGGGCAACCCUGACCGAGCAACGCCGCGGGAGUGAAGAAGGGUGUCGGAUCGUAAAGCUCUGUUGUAAGUCAAGAACGGGUGUGAGAGUGGAAAGUUCACACUGUGACGGUAGCUUACCAGAAAGGGACGACUAACUACGUG
rnacentral:rRNA from 1 species